AGAAAAAGAUCCUGGCUCAGAACGUACGCUGGCGGCACGCUUAACACAUGCAAGUCGAACGAAGUAGCAAUACUUAGUGGCAGACGGGUGAGUAUAAUGUGGGAAUCUGCCUUUUGGUUUAAAAUAACUCGGGGAAACUUGAGCUAAUACUGGAUAAGCCCUUACGGGGAAAGCUUUAUGCGCCAAAAGAUGAGCCCGCACUUGAUUAGCUUGUUGGUGAGGUAAAAGCUCACCAAGGCAACGAUCAAUAGCUGUUCUUAGAGGAAGAUCAGCCACAUUGGGACUGAGACACGGCCCAGACUCCUACGGGAGGCAGCAGUGGGGAAUCUUGCACAAUGGGGGAAACCCUGAUGCAGCGAUGCCGCGUGAGUGAAGAAGGCCCUUGGGUUGUAAAACUCUUUCGUCGGGGAAGAAAAUGACUGUACCCGAAUAAGAAGGUCCGGCUAACUUCGUGCCAGCAGCCGCUGUAAUACGAAGGGACCUAGCGUAGUUCGGAAUUACUGGGCUUAAAGAGCUCGUAGGUGGUUAAAGAAGUUGGUGGUGAAAUCCCAAGGCUUAACCUUGGAACUGCCAUCAAAACUUUUUAGCUAGAGUAUGAUAGGGGAAAGUGGAAAUUUCUAGUGGUAGAGGUGAAAAUUCGUAGAUAUUAGGAAAGAACCACCAAAAGCGAAGGGCAACCUUUUCUGGAUCAUUACUGACACUGAGGGAGCGAAAAGCAUGGGUAGCGAAGAGGGAUUAGAUACCCCUCGGUAGUCCAUGCUGUAAAACGAUGUGUGCUAGGACGUUUGGAAAAUUUAAUUUUUCAGUGUCGCAGCAAAAAGCAUUAAGCACACCGCCUGGGGGAGUACGACCGCAAGGUUAAAAACUCAAAUGAAUUGACGGGGGACCCCGCACAAAGCAAGUGGAGCAUGUGGUUUAAUUUCGAAGAUACGCGCAGAACCUUUACCAACUCUUGACAUGUUUCGUCGCGACUCGUAGAGAUAUGAGUCUUCGGUUCGGCCGGACGAAACACAGGUGUUGCAUGGCUGUCGUCAGCUCGUGUCGUGAGAUGUUGGGUUAAGUCCCGCAACGAGCGCAACCCCUACGGUUUAGUUACUAACAUUUAGUUGAGUACUCUAAACGAACUGCCAGUGAUAAGCUGGAGGAAGGUGGGGAUGACGUCAAGUCCUCAUGGCCCUUACGAGUUGGGCUACACACGUGCUACAAUGGUACUUACAAUAAGACGCAAAGAGGCAACUCUAAGCCAAUCUUAAAAAUGUAUCUCAGUUCGGAUUGCACUCUGCAACUCGAGUGCAUGAAGCUGGAAUUGCUAGUAAUCGCGGAUCAGCGCGCCGCGGUGAAUACGUUCCCGGGUCUUGUACACACCGCCCGUCACACCAUGGAAGUUGGUUACACCUUAAGGCAAAGCGUAAAACCUUUGACUACGGUACGAUCAGCGACUGGGGUGAUGUCGUAACGGGGUAACC
rnacentral:rRNA from 1 species